rnacentral:rRNA from 2 species
UUAAGCGACUAAGCGUACACGGUGGAUGCCCUGGCAGUCAGAGGCGAUGAAGGACGUGCUAAUCUGCGAUAAGCGUCGGUGAGGUGAUAUGAACCGUUAUAACCGGCGAUUUCCGAAUGGGGAAACCCAGUGUGUUUCGACACACUAUCAUUAACUGAAUCCAUAGGUUAAUGAGGCGAACCGGGGGAACUGAAACAUCUAAGUACCCCGAGGAAAAGAAAUCAACCGAGAUUCCCCCAGUAGCGGCGAGCGAACGGGGAGGAGCCCAGAGCCUGAAUCAGUGUGUGUGUUAGUGGAAGCGUCUGGAAAGGCGUGCGAUACAGGGUGACAGCCCCGUACACAAAAAUGCACAUAUUGUGAGCUCGAUGAGUAGGGCGGGACACGUGGUAUCCUGUCUGAAUAUGGGGGGACCAUCCUCCAAGGCUAAAUACUCCUGACUGACCGAUAGUGAACCAGUACCGUGAGGGAAAGGCGAAAAGAACCCCGGCGAGGGGAGUGAAAAAGAACCUGAAACCGUGUACGUACAAGCAGUGGGAGCCUCUUAAUGGGGUGACUGCGUACCUUUUGUAUAAUGGGUCAGCGACUUAUAUUCUGUAGCAAGGUUAACCGAAUAGGGGAGCCGAAGGGAAACCGAGUCUUAACUGGGCGUUAAGUUGCAGGGUAUAGACCCGAAACCCGGUGAUCUAGCCAUGGGCAGGUUGAAGGUUGGGUAACACUAACUGGAGGACCGAACCGACUAAUGUUGAAAAAUUAGCGGAUGACUUGUGGCUGGGGGUGAAAGGCCAAUCAAACCGGGAGAUAGCUGGUUCUCCCCGAAAGCUAUUUAGGUAGCGCCUCGUGAAUUCAUCUCCGGGGGUAGAGCACUGUUUCGGCAAGGGGGUCAUCCCGACUUACCAACCCGAUGCAAACUGCGAAUACCGGAGAAUGUUAUCACGGGAGACACACGGCGGGUGCUAACGUCCGUCGUGAAGAGGGAAACAACCCAGACCGCCAGCUAAGGUCCCAAAGUCAUGGUUAAGUGGGAAACGAUGUGGGAAGGCCCAGACAGCCAGGAUGUUGGCUUAGAAGCAGCCAUCAUUUAAAGAAAGCGUAAUAGCUCACUGGUCGAGUCGGCCUGCGCGGAAGAUGUAACGGGGCUAAACCAUGCACCGAAGCUGCGGCAGCGACACUAUGUGUUGUUGGGUAGGGGAGCGUUCUGCAAGCCUGUGAAGGUGGCCUGUGAGGGUUGCUGGAGGUAUCAGAAGUGCGAAUGCUGACAUAAGUAACGAUAAAGCGGGUGAAAAGCCCGCUCGCCGGAAGACCAAGGGUUCCUGUCCAACGUUAAUCGGGGCAGGGUGAGUCGACCCCUAAGGCGAGGCCGAAAGGCGUAGUCGAUGGGAAACAGGUUAAUAUUCCUGUACUUGGUGUUACUGCGAAGGGGGGACGGAGAAGGCUAUGUUGGCCGGGCGACGGUUGUCCCGGUUUAAGCGUGUAGGCUGGUUUUCCAGGCAAAUCCGGAAAACCAAGGCUGAGGCGUGAUGACGAGGCACUACGGUGCUGAAGCGACAAAUGCCCUGCUUCCAGGAAAAGCCUCUAAGCAUCAGGUAACAUCAAAUCGUACCCCAAACCGACACAGGUGGUCAGGUAGAGAAUACCAAGGCGCUUGAGAGAACUCGGGUGAAGGAACUAGGCAAAAUGGUGCCGUAACUUCGGGAGAAGGCACGCUGAUAUGUAGGUGAAGCGACUUGCUCGUGGAGCUGAAAUCAGUCGAAGAUACCAGCUGGCUGCAACUGUUUAUUAAAAACACAGCACUGUGCAAACACGAAAGUGGACGUAUACGGUGUGACGCCUGCCCGGUGCCGGAAGGUUAAUUGAUGGGGUUAGCGGUAACGCGAAGCUCUUGAUCGAAGCCCCGGUAAACGGCGGCCGUAACUAUAACGGUCCUAAGGUAGCGAAAUUCCUUGUCGGGUAAGUUCCGACCUGCACGAAUGGCGUAAUGAUGGCCAGGCUGUCUCCACCCGAGACUCAGUGAAAUUGAACUCGCUGUGAAGAUGCAGUGUACCCGCGGCAAGACGGAAAGACCCCGUGAACCUUUACUAUAGCUUGACACUGAACAUUGAGCCUUGAUGUGUAGGAUAGGUGGGAGGCUUUGAAGUGUGGACGCCAGUCUGCAUGGAGCCGACCUUGAAAUACCACCCUUUAAUGUUUGAUGUUCUAACGUUGGCCCGUAAUCCGGGUUGCGGACAGUGUCUGGUGGGUAGUUUGACUGGGGCGGUCUCCUCCUAAAGAGUAACGGAGGAGCACGAAGGUUGGCUAAUCCUGGUCGGACAUCAGGAGGUUAGUGCAAUGGCAUAAGCCAGCUUGACUGCGAGCGUGACGGCGCGAGCAGGUGCGAAAGCAGGUCAUAGUGAUCCGGUGGUUCUGAAUGGAAGGGCCAUCGCUCAACGGAUAAAAGGUACUCCGGGGAUAACAGGCUGAUACCGCCCAAGAGUUCAUAUCGACGGCGGUGUUUGGCACCUCGAUGUCGGCUCAUCACAUCCUGGGGCUGAAGUAGGUCCCAAGGGUAUGGCUGUUCGCCAUUUAAAGUGGUACGCGAGCUGGGUUUAGAACGUCGUGAGACAGUUCGGUCCCUAUCUGCCGUGGGCGCUGGAGAACUGAGGGGGGCUGCUCCUAGUACGAGAGGACCGGAGUGGACGCAUCACUGGUGUUCGGGUUGUCAUGCCAAUGGCACUGCCCGGUAGCUAAAUGCGGAAGAGAUAAGUGCUGAAAGCAUCUAAGCACGAAACUUGCCCCGAGAUGAGUUCUCCCUGACUCCUUGAGGGUCCUGAAGGAACGUUGAAGACGACGACGUUGAUAGGCCGGGUGUGUAAGCGCAGCGAUGCGUUGAGCUAACCGGUACUAAUGAACCGUGAGGCUUAACCUU